ACAUUUCAUUAUGGUAAGGAAUAUUACAUUCUUCCUUACCAAGAUAAUUUUUACACAUGAACAUUUUGAAGAAAAAAAAAAUAAAGAAAACACAUUCAAAAUCCUACACGUAGGCACUAUAAAUAGCUAAAGAUAGAAACAUAAUGGCUAGAGCCUACACCAUCAUCAUCAUCAGCCAUAAAACUACACACCCAUACACGCACUGCACCAGAAACUAGACUAAUUAACACACACUAAUCUGAAUACACCAUAUUCAGCCGCAUACGAAUUCAUCUCUUUUUCGUCUCAUCUUCUCCAUGAGCACAGCUUAACCACAAAGCUCACCACCCCUCUAUAGCUGCUACAACAUAGCCACUUCAUCUCCACCCACUAGCCACCGUGAGAUCCUUCUCCAAACAGCCAUAAAACUAGAUCCAUUAGAAUCACAACAGCUUAAAAAAACGAAAAGCAGCAAAUGUUCUUAUGAAACCAGCCCCAAAACCUCUUGUUAACCACCACAGUAAAACUCCAUAAAGCCACCAAAGAUGGAUUCAAAUUUGUUGAAAAGCUCUUUAAGAUUACGAGGCUAGAGAUAAUCUCCAGUGAAUUGCAAGAUAUGAAGUAAAUUGAAAGUCGAGAAUUAUCUUCCAGGUGCAUACAGAGGAGUAGAGGAUAUUGCUAGAAGAUGUUCCAGCUGGGUUGGCGAGCUCCAUUUCUUUCCGGAGUGUUGCCGAGUCAGAGUACUCAUGUCAUGAUAUAAUGAUUUUAUGUUAGAGACUUUGCAGACAGAGUCACGUAUAUAGUAUGUCAUUCUUGUAAGCGGUUAUUUAAGCCAACGUAUCAUUAUGCAUUAUGUUACCAAAUUUCAUAUGAUUACAGAUUUUGGCUUGAUUUGAUAAAGACGAAAAGAAUGUUUUUGUUAAAA